rnacentral:rRNA from 1 species
AGUGGCGGACGGGUGAGUAACACGUAGGUAACCUGCCCCGGAGCGGGGGAUAACAUUUGGAAACAGAUGCUAAUACCGCAUAACAACAAAAGCCACAUGGCUUUUGUUUGAAAGAUGGCCUUGGCUAUCACUCUGGGAUGGACCUGCGGUGCAUUAGCUAGUUGGUAAGGUAACGGCUUACCAAGGCGAUGAUGCAUAGCCGAGUUGAGAGACUGAUCGGCCACAAUGGAACUGAGACACGGUCCAUACUCCUACGGGAGGCAGCAGUAGGGAAUCUCCCACAAUGGGCGCAAGCCUGAUGGAGCAACACCGCGUGAGUGAAGAAGGGUUUCGGCUCGUAAAGCUCUGUUGUUGGAGAAGAACGUGCGUGAGAGUAACUGUUCACGCAGUGACGGUAUCCAACCAGAAAGUCACGGCUAACUACGUGCCAGCAGCCGCGGUAAUACGUAGGUGGCAAGCGUUAUCCGGAUUUAUUGGGCGUAAAGCGAGCGCAGGCGGUUGCUUAGGUCUGAUGUGAAAGCCUUCGGCUUAACCGAAGAAGUGCAUCGGAAACCGGGCAACUUGAGUGCAGAAGAGGACAGUGGAACUCCAUGUGUAGCGGUGGAAUGCGUAGAUAUAUGGAAGAACACCAGUGGCGAAGGCGGCUGUCUGGUCUGCAACUGACGCUGAGGCUCGAAAGCAUGGGUAGCGAACAGGAUUAGAUACCCUGGUAGUCCAUGCCGUAAACGAUGAGUGCUAGGUGU